AGCAGGCACCAAGCAAAAUGUGAAAAACAAAAGAGAGCAAAGAUUAACACUGCUCACUACCAAUUCAGUAGUAGUACCAACCAAUGUACUGUAAAAGAAUUCAUUCCAUUUCCUGCUAAUCCAAGUUUAAUAUGGGCUAGGAGAUGAUCAGGCAUGUCACGUACACCUACCGUACCAAAUGCUGGUAUGGCAAGGCAUGGCGACUUAGCUUGGUGAGAGAGAAGCAAGAGGGGGAUGGGGACAGACAUGUUGCUUACUGCAGUCCAGCGCGCGCGCGGCCCCGGCUCGGCACCUUCUUCCCUUUCCUCUCCCUCUCCUUCUCCCUCCGGUGGUUGGGGCGGAGCUGCCGAGCUCAGCAGCUCAGCUUGCUUUUCUAUCUAUCUAUCUUCCUUUCUUUCUUUCCUUUUAUUUUCUAGUUGGGCGGGCAGUAUCUUCCCUCUCUCUCCUUUCCUUGUUUUUCUAAGUAAGUAGUAAGUACAACCGAAUGAACGAAGCCGGCAAGUCAGUCCCAUUGCUGCCGGCAUUGCCUGCUGCUUGAUGCUUGCGCUCCAUUGCAUUGCUAGCUACUGAUUCUUCCUCUUCCGGAUCGGACGCCAUUGAUCGAUCCAUUGCUAGCUGUUCGUUGCCCGGCCGAUAAUAAUG
rnacentral:lncRNA from 1 species